rnacentral:rRNA from 1 species
UACGAGGGGGGCGAGCGUUGUUCGGAAUUAUUGGGCGUAAAGGGUGCGUAGGCGGUUUGGUAAGUCUGAUGUGAAAUCUAUGGGCUCAACUCAUAGUCUGCAUCGGAAACUGCCGGGCUUGAGUAUGGGAGAGGUGAGUGGAAUUCCUGGUGUAGCGGUGAAAUGCGUAGAUAUCGGAAGGAACACCAGUGGCGAAAGCGGCUUCCUGGUCCAGCACCGACGUCAGGCACGGAAAGCGUGGGGAGCAAACAGG